UACGGAGGGUGCAGGCGUUAAUCGGAAUUACUGGGCGUAAAGCGUGCGCAGGCGGUCUUUUAAGUCAGAUGUGAAAUCCCCGGGCUUAACCUGGGAACUGCGUUUGAAACUGGAAGGCUUGAGUGUGGCAGAGGGGGGUGGAAUUCCACGUGUAGCAGUGAAAUGCGUAGAGAUGUGGAGGAACACCGAUGGCGAAGGCAGCCCCCUGGGCUAACACUGACGCUCAUGCACGAAAGCGUGGGGAGCAAACAGG
rnacentral:rRNA from 1 species